UACUCAUUCUGAGAUCCACCAGGAUGUAGAGAUUUUCUCCACCUGGUGGUUUAAAGAAGAAAGAGAGAAAACGUGGAGGACAGCACAAUAUUUUGGAACUUGGUCUGAAAGUGAUAUACAUCACUUUCUACCUGCAUUCCACUGGCCAGCUUAUCAUAUGCCCACCUCAGUACAAAAGGGCAGGAAAGUCUUAUUUAUUAUGUGCUCAGGAAGGGGAAAUUUUGGUGAGUAUCUGGUCAUGUUCUCCUACUCCUGGAAGAGCUGGAUUGUGGAAUGUGAGUUGGUCUAAAUGUUGAAAAUUUCAGGCAAAGGAAAUUACAUACAGGGCACGGUCCAGGACAGACACCAAAGACGUCAAAGCAUAUUUGGAGACUUGAAAUGUAUGUUUUUGAUUUGAGGGAAGGGAAUUGGUGGGGGACAUGUUACGAGUUAACACCUGAGAGAAAGGCUGGGGUCAGAGUCUGUUUUGACAAGCCCUCCGGAUAACUCUGAUGCACAUUAAGAUUUGCGAUCCACUAUUUUAAGCCCCGAGAGAGCUUAUUUUGCUAUAUUGAGAACUUCACAAUAAGAAGAGGGAAGCUGACAUUCAAUUUUUCCAUCAAAAUCUCUUUUCACCAGUCAUUACCACCCAUCAUAGUCAAAUUGUUCAAACUUCCUGCAGAUUUCAAGAAUUUUCAAGGUGUUUGGGUUUGCCUUGUAGUAAAGAGGAAGAGGCCAUCAGAAGACUUUAAAGGAUUUUCAUGUUUAGAGUGAUAUUUUGGAAAGUCAUUCUGAAAUGGAGGAAAAGACUAGAAGUAAGGACAUCAUUAGGAGGCUGUUUCUUCUGGUAUUUCCUAGCUCAGGGAUUCUCAAAGUCGAUUCACACAUAAGCUGUGUUUUCCAACUUUACACAAUACUGACAUACUUAUGUAUAGAUGUACACACAUAUAUAAAACAGUUCAUGGUAGUUUGUGUUAUAAUCUAUUUUUUUAAAUGGUGGCUGCCACACAUUAAAUUAAAUUCUCUACCCUCAAAUAGAUUGUAAACUGCACUGUGAUAACCGCUGCCUUAUCUUAUUAUUAAAAGAUAGCACCCUGCAGACAAUCUCCAGACCCAAACUUGGGCAUCAUGUGGGACACCCCAGCCAUCCUUCUAUGUCUAUCCUCCAUGGGAGAUAGAGUACCCAGAAGGUACUCCCCACAGCCCAUUGAUCACAUUACUUCUGGUCUAUUUCUUAAAUUUCCCUCACCCAAUUUUCAUUGUCACCACUGUUGAGAUGAGUGGCUUUCAACAUGUGGUCUAGGCUCUGUAAAACCAUCUUAUGGGGUCCACAGGGUCAAAAACAUGUUCUCAUUUUUAUAGUGACACUGCCAUUUUCAAUUUCACUUUUGUUCUUUUACAGCUGUACAGUGGGGUUUUCUAGAAUGUAUCAAUUGCUCUGAUGGGUGAAUGAAAUCGAUGCUUCUGUAGUUGUGUGUUUUCUUUUUCCUUUCUUUUUUAGUUUUAAUGCUCCAUAUGUUAAAUAUUGACAGAUGUCAUUAAAAUCUUGGGUUUUUAAGAGUGCAGUGGGGACCUGAGACCAAGGAGCUCAAGAGCCCCUGUUUUGUACUUUCAUGAUUUUGAAUGGUCAUUGUCACCAUAAAUACCUGGGUGCAAUUUUGUGGCCUGUGGUGCCUCUGAACAAACACUCAUAGUUGAUUAUCCAGCCCUCCACUUCAGCAAUAGGAUUUCCUUUUCUGGUUACCCAGAAGAGUGUCUGCCCUGUGAUUUCUGGAGCCCCAUUGCCAACUCUGUCCUUGAUCCUCAGCCUCUUCAUUGACUUUAGAACAUUAGGGUUCCACUUUUUUUUAUUUUUUGAGACGGAGUCUUGCUCUGUCACCAGGCUGGAGUGCAGUGGCACAAUCUUGGCUCACUGCAACCUCUGCCUCCUGGGUUCAAGCGAUUCUUCUGCCUCAGCCUCCCAAGUAGCUGGGAUGACAGGUGCGUGCCACCACGCCUGGCUAAUUUUUUUGUAUUUUUAGUAGAACGGGGUUUCACCGUGUUGGCCAGGAUGGUCUCGAUCUCUUGACCUCGUGAUCUGCCUACCUCGGCCUCCCAAAGUGCUGGAAUUACAGGUGUGAGCCACCACACCUGGCAGGUUUCCACUUUAAGACUCUAAGAUUGGAGGGUCCCAUGCUCAUACCCCUAAGUUACUCUGUCAGAAAUCAUGCAUUUGUUAUCUCAUCUGUGGACACUCUCUAUAGUCUGACAAACCAGACAUUUUUUUCUCUCUAAUUCUGAUCCUGCUUAUGAACUUCAGACUUGAAUGUUGUACCCAUGUUCCUGCUGCUUAUCUCUGCUUAGAUACUUAAAACGUAACUCAAAAUUAUUUUUCCCGUAACCGAAUUUCUAAUUUCUUCCAUUGCUCCUUCUCUCCAAAAUUCCUCACAUCAAUAAAAAUCAACUACAUUAUUUAAGAUCCUCAGGUCAGAAUCUUUGGCUUCCUCAUUAACUCAUCUCUUUGAUAAUAUAUCCAGUUCACCAAUACAUUCUACUGACUAUAUCAUCCAUGGGACAACAUUUCCCACAGAUUUUCCUUAACUUUGCUACUUCUAACCUUAGAUGUAAACACCAUCAUCUUUUGUCUGAGCCUUUACUAUGGCCUAAGGAUGGAUUUUCUAGCUUCUGUCCUUGCUCCUUGACAUUUAUAUAUCCAUGCAGCUGGGAGGCCUCUUUAUAGAAUUCUCUAAAAGGAUCAUAAGCACUUUCAGUGGUGUAAGUUUCCAGAGCCACUUCCAUUCUCCUUUGAGGGGCCCAAAUCUCCAGACUCUGUGUGGGAGAGAUUUACCCUCAUGUCCAGAUAGGUUAGACCCUGCUACUUCCCCCGGAAGCUAAUCUCAACCAGAUCAAAACUUUCUUAUCAAGACAACACUCUAGGGAUGAUACAUAUAUUAGAGGGAUCCAGACACCAAAGCUGUCAAAGACUACCAUCAGAACUUAACUAUACACAAUGCAAAAUAUUCUCUAAUUUGGAGUUCGGAAUAAGCUUGGAAAGAUAAACCAAUCAUGCCUGGUAAGGCAGUUUCAUGGUAAAGGUGUUAGGCUCUCUGGACUGGGGAUUGGGGUCAGGACUCAAAGCUGGCCACAGAAUUCCAGAAUAGAGGUCUCUGGUCCACCUUGAGCUCAUCCACAUGCGCCAUCACCUGAAGCUCCCUCCCUCACCUGACACAGAGACAAGAGCACUCUCUAGUUUUGUUUUUUUUUCUGAGAUUGAGAUAGAACAAGUGGUUCUUAGUAUCUGGGGACACACCCAAUUAAAUUAAAUUAAGAGGCAGACAGGAAGUCAUAUGUGAAUGAAUGAGUCAGAACUUAUUAUUAGGUCUACAGAAAAAGGAUUCAUCUAAAAAGAAAAAAGAAAAAGAAAAAGAUCAAGGGAUGUCAAUGAUUCCAUAUGGUGUGGGUGAUGAAGUAGAAAACUGAGAUGAGAUCUCAGACCUAGGGAGGAGAGAGGCGUAAGACAAGGACCCAGCUGAACAGGGGAAAAUGGGGAACAUGUCUGAAAACAGUAGUUUAGUCACAGACUCAGACAGAGGCAACAUCCAGGCUGACCUGGAUUCAACUUGUUACUAUUCUGCUUGAUUAAGUUUUCAGGGUGCAGUUAGAUGGGGGAUAGGGACUGCGGCUCCCAGCUUUCCUGUUUCAGAUGUCAGUCUUGGGCAGGCAGCCGAAAGAGAACAGGAGCCAAGAAAAAAAAAACCCCACUCAUUUCUUUGCUUUGUGCCAGUCCUGGUGUGCAGUGCUGUACAAGCGUUUUCCCAUCGACUCUUUAACAGCCUGUUAGAAAGAAAUUAUCCCUAUUUUAAAGGUGAAGAAACUGUGAUUUGGUGACAUCAAUCAAAUGAUUCAGAAUCACACAGCUAGUGAGCUGUAGAGUCAGGGUUUACAUUUGAUCUUUCUGACACCACAGUCCAUGCCCUUAACCUUGGCACUCCUCCCAAUUAUGAGUCCUGGGGGUAGAGGACUGUCCGUAUCUAAGUAAACAGACAGUGUGUGGCUUGAGGGCAGGUGCCAGUUGCUUUCUUCUAUGUACCAUUAGCAUCUGACACAGAACCUUGCAGCUGCUUGGUGAAAAUGCACCUAACGAAAAUGGACUAAUCUCAUUUUAUCUUUCAAGUACUCAAACAACUUGAGUGUAAUUUAAGUUUCUACUACUUUAGCAAUGGGAAAUAGAAGUGGGUGCCUCCAGUUUUAUCAGUUAACUUUUACUUGAUUGAACCUCAGCUUCCACUAUGACCUUGUAUCUUAUGCUUUAUAGACCUCAAAACCAUGAAACCCCUUAGCUCUACAACUCAUGGACAGGCCCACUUUCUGUUCUUGAAAAACUGCCACGCUUGUUUAUAUUAUAACUGAUAUUUCCCUGAGCAUCAAAUUCCAUUGUCAUAGUGCACACCCUUCUCCUACAGGGAUUUCUUUUUUUCUCACCCACAGGGAUUUGGGGGUACCUUGUUCUCUUUCCUGGAGGACUCUACACCAUUUCCUCCUCCUAACUUGCAGAUGCACCUUUCUCCAAAGAGCAAGGACCUUUUCUUCGAAUGCCAAGCCAAUAUAUGGUCAUUCUCAAACCGUCCACUGCUGAACAGCACCAGAUCACAAGAGAACAUGUUAGAACAUGCAAAUGCUCAGCCCCACCCAAAACCUGCUGAAUCAGAUGCUCGGGGUGGAGCCAAACAGUCUGUUUUAAAAAGCCCUCCAGAUAACUCUGACGCACAUUAAGAUUUGGGAUCCACUCUUUUAAGCCCUGAGAGAGUUCAUUUUGCUAUACUGAGAACUUCACAAUAAGAAGAAGGAGGCUGACAUUCAAUUUUUGCAUCAAAAUUUCUUUUCACAAGUCAUCACCACCCAGCAAAUCAUUAAAACUUCCUUCAGAUCUUAAGAGUCUUCAAGCUGAGCCUUUGCCCUUGAUGCUCUGUCAGCUUCGUGUUUCUUAGAGAAAUGUAUUCUUAUCAUUGUAGGUGAACUCUGAUCCCUUUACUGUAUUGACAGGGGCUUGAUAGAGUAUAAAGAUAAGGGCUUGAUGCAGGAUGUGCAGAAUUAGUUUAGAUGGUGGCAAGAGUAAAAUAUAGAUGCAGAGAGGUAAGGAGGAAAAAUGGCCCAAUUCCUGUUUAUGGAAUUAGUUCCCUUGCUUGGGGAUGGUGAAGUAAAUGUACAUUCAAGGUCAGUGCAAGGCUGGUCUUGAGGUGGGUUGCUGCACCUAUGUAGGAUGAAGAGAAGUAAUGCUGUCAUUCCUGGGGGGUCUAGACUACUACAGUAGAGUGACCCUGGGCAGAGGAUCAUGAUGAAGACCUUUACUGACAAGGUACCUCAAGGAGGACAGCAAAGAGUCUGGAGAGAGGUGGCUGCCCUGGGAAGAUGUAGGCAGCAGCUGCAGAGAUAAAAGAGACAGGAAGGGCAUUUGCAAAGACAGCAGCAGCACCUAUGAGCAGGCAGGGCAAGGCUUGCUCUACUGCCUCUGCUGAAGGCUGUAUCAAAGAGCAAUCAUCAAGCCUGCAGCUUUGUGUUAAGUGUUCUGUUAGGGUCAGGUGUAGCAUAAGUGGGCAGGAGGUGGGGUCUCUGUGGAGGAAAAAGGUGGGUAUCAGGAUCCUAGCAGGGGAAGGCCAGUGCUUGGAGAGACACAAUGGAUAUAUAAGUGCUGCAGCAGGGAAAACAAAUUAUUCAUCUCAUAAACAGGAAUUCCAUCCUCACCAUUUGCCAAGCACUAUGCCUUUCCGGGACCUUGGGACCAAGAGUUCAUUUCUAAUUUUUCUUUGUAGUUCUCACUUGUCUUUCUUUCUUUCCCCCCCACCGUCUUCUGUUCUAUGGGCCAGGUCUUGUUAGCGUCUGUAGAUUGCUGUAGUCUAAGGUGCCUCAUGUCAAGCUGAGGUUUCCGUAGAAACAAAUAGAGAUUUUGCUUUCUGAGUCUUGCAGGGAGUAUUUCUGGCAAUUUAUCAGAAAUGGCAGUGCGUUCCUUGGGCAAGGUACUUGCACUCCUUGGAGGGAAAACAAAAUAAACAGAACAUUAUCCUAGAACAGAGCUGUUAUAUUUUAUUUUUCUGUUUUGCCUUUUCCACUGUGUCUGGCUCUGCACAUCCACCUAUGAAUAUUUUCUGAGCAUCUUCAGGUGAGAUCUGUUCAACUCCAAUUGUUCCCCACCCAAUGCUGGUGCUGUCCAGCCUCCUCCAGAGGGUGUCUAAGAGCAGAGAGGAAGGAGAGGCGGGAAGAAAAGAGCACCAUUGAGGGCAUUUGUUGCAACAAAUUGAGGGAGUCGGGGACAAUGGACUUAAAGAAGAUUAUUGAUUGUGCUCUUGAAACUUGGGGUAGUUUGGGUCAAAUUUAUGCUCUGUAUGCUAGAAAACCUGGUGGAAAUUUGAUUUUUGAUAAAAAUAUCCGGGCAAUGGUAAUGAUUGUGGUCUGAAAAUGGAGUUUAGAGGCAAAGGCAAAAGGUAAUCAAUCCAAAUUUCAAAAUGAGCAUGUCAGAAAGGCUUAAAUAAAUUAGAAUAGGGAUCAGCAGUAGCAAUACGAGAAAGUUUUUAUAGGAGAAAGUCUGAAGUCAGUAGAUAUUCCAAACUACUUUGGCCUUCAUACUCAACCACUGUGUCUCUGUGGACAGGCCCUGAUCAGCCCACAGUCUGUUCUCUAUGGCUUGUGACACUUGGUGAUAAUCCACAGCCUAUUUUGUUUUAGAACACACUUACAGUUUCCAUUUGUGACAUAAGCAGAGCUAGAUACUGCUGGGAUUCCUUCCCAUUCCUUUAUUUAAUGUGCAGGGUUUAUGUAAGUUUACUGUUCAUUUAAAUCUCUAAUGUGUGGCUGCUGGAUGUGAGAGGGACAUAUCUGGAUCCAAGCAAUAUUCUUGGCAGGAAUACCCAGAUGUCUCGGGAAUCCAUCUGUGUAUAGUUUUUCUAGAUCAGAGGGGUGAUUUCUCUAAGUGACAUGAGACCCCCCAGUAGGUUGUGAUCAUUUCUCAAGACCCCUUAAGGACCAAUGUCUCUCAAUCAUUGGCAAGGCUUAAUUUUUUUGGCUCACUUCAUCCAUCUCAUUAGAUAAUGAACCUGCUCCAUAUUGUGGGAUAUGUAUCAUUUUGUGGAUGAGAGCAGUAAGCUAGGAAGAGAUUUUAAAAGAUGAUGGACUAUGGAGAAGUAGCUCAAUUAUCAUAAACAUUUAUGGAAAUGGUGACUUACAUCUAGGCUUGAGGUGUAGCAUUGCCUACGGCUGUUUCCAGAGAAUGCCACGUAAUUAAUUACACCACUCAAGAAUAUGAGGACCAAAUUGCUUUCAUCUUCUUUAGGUUAUCUAGUGACUCCUGGAGCAACAGGUGGAACAGAGUCUUCAAAGUAUUUAUGAAACAAUAAAAAUAAGACUUUUGAGAAAGAAGAGAUAACUUCAUUUGCACAUUAUUUCCUCAAGAGAGUGGUGGCCAUCCUCAAAGGUCGCACUUGAAUAAGAACAGAUUCUGACCUUUUUGAUUACUUUAAGUUGACAGGAUGGAGUAAAUAAUGCUGCAAUCACGACUCUCCAUGGAAAUCUCAAGGACACCACAUUUUCUCCCAUCUUUUGGAAGGUGAGGUGGCAGGAAUCUUCAUUGCUUGAUUCUUUCGAAUGUGACUUUAGAGAAUGGUUGAAUGAUCUUUGGUGUGUGGUCAUCACAGCAGAUGUGAGUAACAGCUGUUGAAUUUGUCAGUUGAAUCUGUCAGUUCUUCCAGAGUUCAGAGGUUGUAUGGAUGAAGUGCGCAUUAGCCAGACUCAUAGGGUCCUACCUUGCUGGAAUACUAAAGGUAACAUAUGUUUGUAUCAGACAGUCAAGAAUUGAAAUGUUGGCAUUGCCAUUUAUUAGCAUAUUAACUUUGGGAAAGGCCUUAUUCUUUAUGAAUUUUAGUUGCCUCAUUUGGAAAAUGGAGAGAUUGCCUACUUAAUAUAAUUAUUGUGAGAAUGGGGAAUAAUAGGUUAAACACAAAUCUCUGCUUGGCAUGCAUUAGGUACCACUAAAUAGUUUAUUCACUUACAUUAAUGGUAAACCUGGCAGGGCAUCAGUUUGCUAAAGCAGGUAAAAUUAUAUCCUAGAAAGGUGUUUUGUGCUUACAAAUUCAGGAUAAGAUUUCUGGAUGCCCUUUAAGGAUAAUCUGUUCGUUUGUUUUGUUUGCUAAAUCCAUUAAUUUCACCCUUGACCACUUUGAAAUCAGGCAGAUCUUACAUUCUCUAUAGUCUCUGGAAAGUUACUGGAUUUUUUCGAGCCUCAGUUUCUCUGCAGUAGAAUGGACCCAGUAGUCCUGCUUUUCUGGUGUUGCUGUGAAGAUGAAAUAAGAUGACAUUCAUAAAACACCUUGUAGAGUAUCUGCACCUUUGUGGAAUAAAUGUGAUAAUUAAUUCCCUUCUCUUUUAAAUUUUAAGGAUGACCUUUUCUGAUAUUUGCUCCAAACUCUGAGUGAGACCCUAUGUAGGUCCCACAGGUAUGUAAGCACUGUUUCUCCUAAGUGACUGGGCCACUGUCCUUGCACAGACCUGCCCAUCUUCCCUUGCUGUGUUUCAGUAAAGACAAAUAAGACUGAAGGUAAAGUGUAGGAUGUUUUACCACCCAAUUAGCAUUUUUAGCUCACGCUCUCCUCUUUGCCUUGGUUUUGAUAAAAGUCCCAGAAUUUUAUUAACUUUGGUGUAUCAGUUGUUGGCAUUCAGUCAGUGCAUUUACAAAUUUGCAAACCAGCUUAGCUUACCCUGUUGUAUUAGUUUUCCCUUGCUGCUGUAAUAGAAUGCAACAGGUUUAGCUGCUGAUAUAACACAAACUUAGUGCCUUACAGUUCUGUAGGUCAGAAGUCUGACACUGGUAUUCCUGAGCUAAAUAAAGGUGUCCAUGGGGCUGCAUUUGCUUUGGGAUGCUCCAAGAAAGUGUCAUUUCCUCGCUCUUUUGGUUCUGGGCAGAAAUCCAUUCUUAGCUGUUGCAGCCCUGGGUCCCUGUGUUCUUGCUGGCUGUAAGCCACCAGCAGUCCCCAGGUUCUACAGGCUACUGUGGUCUUUGGCUCAGGAUCUGCUUCCUCUUUCUUCAAAGUCAGCACAUUCUUCUCACAUUGCUCAGACUCACCCUGCUUCUUUCCUGUCUUUCACUUUUAAGGAAUUGUAAUAUUAUAUCUGACCCACCCAGAUAAUCCAGAAUAAUAUACCCAUCUCAAGGUAUUAAUCAGUUAUGCAAAGUCACUUUUGCAUGUAAGGUAAUAUACUCAGAUUCCUGGAUUUAGGAUGUAGAUAUAUUUUGGGGUCGUAAAUCUGCUUACCACACUUCUAAACAGACUUGGACAAGUAAAGAAAGCAAACUGAAGUCUCUGAGAUAUUUUGAUUUUACUAUAUGUGCUUUGAAUAUUCCUGGGAAAAAAAAAACUGCAGCAAAUAAAGAGGCUGUAGCAUGAAACAGAUCAAGAUAUUUAAAAGGCAGAAGAAAAAAAGAGCAGACUUUCUAGUACCUAGUUACAGGUCCUGCUAACUACAGUUUAAAUUAUCCUUUAAGGAAUUUUUGACAGGUUGGUAAAUUACAACCUACACAACCUUAAUUAAUUUUGUCAUAUCUCCAAUUCACUCAGGUUGCCUGAGUUUUUUUCCUUCCAUGUUUUUCUAGUGGCUCUGAGUUUAGUUGUUCUCUCAAGAAAAUUGAGGUAAAACAGAAAGAACAGCUGUUUUUUUUUAAAUUUUAUUUUUCUUCAUGCUGUGCUUUUUGGCUGAAUUCAUAAGGCACAGAAAGAUGAAGUAUACUGUGUUAAACUACAGUAAUAACAUGAAGCAAUAAUGUGGGACAAUACCAUGGAAUUAUAAGCGACAGAAUAAUAUGGACCUAUAGGUCCUAUAGGUUAAAUAGCUCUUGGCAUUAAAACUCUAGAAAUCACUCUUGUGGGCAUUUUGUUAGGUGAAAGUGAGUCUAAGAAAAACUGGGAUGGUGCAGGCUGGGAGACCACAUGAGACAGACUGGGAGAGGGUAACACUAGGUAAGGGUUCCUCCAUGCCAGCUGCACAGUGAGACAACUUAGGGGGCUUUAUGAAAAUAUGAUGCCUGGAUCUCAACCUCAGAGACUCUGAUUUAAUUGGUCUGGAGGAUUUUUUAAAUAGCUCCCCAGGUAAUUCUAAUAUGUAGUCAGGAUUGAGAGUCAUUGGAUCAAAUUAACCUCCAUUAUACUAGUGACAGUUCUGAAAAUCCCUGUGUCCAGGGACCCAAACAGAGGGUUUUCAAGUGCAGGGAUAGAGCAGAAGAGUCAAGUGAGACUGAGGUUCCAAGAUGCAAAAACCUUAGGCUGAACCCGUCUGUAUUUCUGGCAUUCCUACUGUCUUGCCUGUCUAGUGAGAUAGAGACUGGGUCUCAGGACUCAGGCCAAAAGAUUAAAAUUGAUUUCUACUUCGAAGGAGCCUAGGUCCUGGAGCACCUUGUAUUCAUUUCCAGAAGAAAGAAACGCCUUCUCCCUGCAGUUGAGGCUCCUACGGGUGUGCCAUUAUGGGAAUAAGUGUAAAGGGGUAGACUGAUUGUAAAUACCAUGGUUAAGAUAGUCCUCUAAGCUCCUGGCUUUUUCCAUCUCAGGGAUCCUGUUUGGCUUCUUCGAUGCCAGAAGCCUUUCUGCUCAAGAGCCAUGCUGCCCCUCCAGGGUUUGAGGCUCUUUCAACCCUGCUGCUGGCCAAGUGAUCCCUCUACUGGUAUUAUUUCUUCUUGUCCUGCUUGUGAGAGCCGAGCCCUGCUCCCAGAUUUGAAGAGACUUUGGUGUUUGUAUACAUGACUUAGGCAUGUGAUUAUCACUGAUCACACGUUGCAGGUAUCCGCUGGAGCAGGCCGUGCUCCUGGAACAGGUUUACAAACCUUAAUGAGAAUCUCAAAAGCAAGCCUCUUUUAUAUAACAGCCCUUCAAUUAUAACUUUCCUACUUUGUUACUUCAGGUGAUUUUAAUCUAUCUUCCUCACUAGCACAAGUUCUAGUGGGCCUGAGACCAGAAAAGACAAUGUGGCAUCCUGCAUCCAACCGUAUUCCUUUUAGAAACCACGCCCAGACUGAGUGGGUACAUUGCUGUUCUAAUACUUUUACUCUUCUGUAGUUUACACAGAAGGAGAUAAUCUUUGAGAUGGCAACUUUGUCAUUCCCCUCAGUGUGUCCAACAACUCACAUCUCACAGCUGUAAUAGUCAGAGGCAAAUUCCACUAUGGAGUAAGGAAACAGUCUUCUAAACGUGCAUUGCAUGUAGGGAGAUACAGACAUAACAAGUAAUGAAUGUUAUAUUCCCAGGAGCAGAGUCUGAGAGAACACAGGUAGUAGUAAAUCCUGAGAUUACAACAUUUCCAUGUAAUUCAUCAGCUUCUGAGAAUCUCUUAAGUGACAUUUAUUGGUAGCAAGCUUUGUAGAACAGAAUGAUAUGCUGGCUAGCCAAGGUAAUUGCACUUCCAGGGUGAGUGGAUUCCUGAAUCCCUAUUUAGAUAUAGGGCUAGAACGAGAUUGAGGAGUUUGUUUUCUCUACUAAGUGAAUUCCUUUCUCCAAGUCCCAGAACCUUGUACAAUGAGUAAUAAAAACCACAAUUCCAGAAAUUGUAGUUGGACAUUACUUUGAUAAUUAUAACAUUUGAAUACUAGCCUUUAUUCACAACACUUCAUUUUUAGGCACUAUGCUUCCCAGAAUGCAUCAGCAACAUCAAUUUCCUUCACCCCACAAUUUUGCAUCAAUAUUUUUUUAAAUUUGCAUUUUUUACCCAUAUGUUAAAAAUACCUGUCUGGAUGAAGAAAAAUUAGAUCCAUGUUCAGCCUAUUUUAUGAAGCACCAUUUUCUGUAAAAAGGGUUGGAUUGUUUCCCAGUUUUCUUGUUGGACUCAUGUCUCUGAAUCAAGAAACAAAUGGUGAAGAAGGCACUCAUUUUUUUUCCCCAUAUAGUUUUGAAGUUGGUCUGUUUUUCAUAAAGUUAAAGUGGGGUUUUCCUUUGAUAGAAGCCUUGGUAGGAUUUUCUCAAGUCAGUUUUCUCUACAUCAAAAUUAGAAUCUAUUAUUCCCAGAGUCUAGCAUUGGUCUAUGUGACUUUAUUUAGAUUGCGGUAUUUUCAUGUUUUCCUCAUGCUCUCAUCUAUAUUUUAGUGAGAGAUUGAAAGAGGCUGAAGUGGGAGCUGCUGCAAGUCAUCAUUUUAUACCAGAAGUCUUCAGGUUGUUUAUUAUUCCUCCUUGUUUUAAACCACCUGUUUCAAAUGUUUUCGCUCCUCUCUUUCACCUGCUUUGCUGGAGAGAAAGCAUGCCUGACUUUGGCACGGUGGAAAUAGCAUAAUUUUUGCAGUUUAUGUGAAAUGCGAUUAUUAGUGAUUAAAUGUUUCUAUGCUUAGGAAGGUAGUAAAGGUAGAGUGAGAUCCUCUCAAAAACAAGACAAAAUGAAGGAUUGUCAGGGUCAUUCUUCACCAGUAAGGAUUAUGUAGUGCAUUCUCCAUCAUCUAGGGCUGUUCUGAUAACUGUAAUGAUACUGAAGAAUGACGUGUCUUUAUCUGCCCCCCAAAUGUCAAAAGAGUCCCGUGAAGAGAUGGGGUUUGGCAAAGCAGGUAUCAUUCAGGUUUUUCCCCUCAAUGCUCAGAUGCCCAUGUAAGGUGGGGAAAGGCUAUCACAGCAGUGUGGGUAGAAGGUGAAGAGAAGAUCGGAAAUAGACAGUGAAAAUGGGGAAAAGGACACUGGGUGGUGGAGAGAGGAGUGAGAGCUAGGUGUGGGGAGGAGCUUGUAUUCAUGGAAAAUGAGUGGGAGGACUAGAAGGGACCUCAGGAUAGAGAGAGGGAUGGUGUGAGGAUGGAGGGGGAGCCUGGAGAGAAGGAGACUCAUGAAUAGAACUGACCACAAGAAGCUUCAUAAAUUAAAGACAUAAUCAAUAUACAGGCAACAUGGGGAUAUAAAAA